rnacentral:lncRNA from 1 species
CGUCAUUCUCCUGCGUCAGCCUCCCGAGUAGCUGGGACUGCAGGCGCCCGCCACCAUGCCUGGCUAAUUUUUUGUAUGUUUAGUAGAGACGGGGUUUCACCGUGUUAGCCAGGAUGGUCUCUAUCUCCUGACCUUGUGAUCUGCCUGCCUCGGCCUCCCGAAGUGCCGGGAUUACAAGCGUGAGCCACCAUUCCCGGCCCAAAGAGGAGAAGAAGUAUGAAGUGCUUGCUUGGACCUUUCUACUGUGCUUAUUAUUCUGUCUUCUCCUCAUGGCAAAAGCUGACAAACGGUUUAUAUCAGAAGGUGGAAUCGUGGGUAUGGUCGAUGUGGCAGGUCCUAAACAUAAAUUGGGCUUCCGAGUGUCAAAUUGCAUCUGGUGAAGACUGAAGACUUCUAUCCUGGAAUGUCUUUGACCUCACUUGCCAUUUGCAGUGAAGAUUUAUCAGCUCCAAAUGGAAAGGAAUGGGAAUUGAUUGUGAAGGCAAACAUCAGGCUGUUAUCCUGAAAGAGAAGCAAAACAGACCUAACUCCAAGAGAAAAUUUUGCCCAAAUGUUGUAAAGCACAAAGAAAAAUACCCAGAUUGUUUCCUUUUUAUAUUCCAAAUCAUUGACAAAACUGAAAAUGUCUUUCUUUUCCUUUUCCUUUUUGUGACUAUACUAGUCACAAAAAUCUAAUAGCUUUCUAAUUUAUCUCAUUUGAUAUUAUCUCAUCAUUAGAAGUUUUGGAAACUUUGGAAAUGGCACUAGAAUCUCAUUUAAAAAAUUAAUGCAGACUCAUUGUUAAAUAAGAUGAACUGACUACAUGAAUUUAACUUAUCUUCAAACCCAAUAAAAAUGUCACAAAAGAAUUAAAAAAAUUAACUUCCCAGGAAAAAGACAAUUAGAUAUGAAAUAAGAGCAUAGGAAAAUUUCAAUUAUCUUUGGAAGACAGAGAGUGGAAAGAAUAAUCAUUUAAAAAUCACAUAGCAGAAAAAGUUAGUCUAAUUAUUUGCCAAAGAAUUCCAAUGAGAAUCAAGUUAUCAGUUCCUGAAAAAAGACGUGUGGAAGUGGACUUAACAAAAGAGUAGAAUUGGUUGAAAAUUCAUAUAUAAAAGGCAGAGACAGUCAGAUUCCCAUCUGCAUCCCAGGAAGCCAGGCAACUGUGAUGCCAUCCCCCAAGGUUAGAGCGAAAUGUUUGUAGAAAUUGAACCAAUCAGGCCCUGGAUACUGGGAAAUCAGGUUUUAGUCAGGUAUAGAUAUGAGGAACUGGAUUGUACACCAGAGAAAUUAGGAGUAAAGUUACUCCAGAUUAGGUUGCCUGAUAAUUUGGUGGCUGAUUGUUAAAAUCCAGUCUCUGCUAAGGCCAGAAUCAAGCUGAAAGCUUUGUUUCAAAAGGAGAGUAUUUAUCAUCCGAGAAUGGCAGAAAUUUGCCCCAAAAUGUGAAGAGUCUGCACUGCUAUUCACCAAGGGGCCUGCUAAAAAUCUCCAAGCAGCACCUCCCUCCGGCACUGACGCUUCACACAUCAUCAAAUCUGAUGGACAACAUGAUGCAUAUGGUAGUCUUCUCUUAUUUGGGCCCCUGUUCAAAAGUAGCUUUUGGGGUCAGUUGGAAAUGGACCAAAGUAGGACACCCAGUGAGGAAUAAAUUGCCUCCAAAAUCAAAGGGGCCCACCAGGAAUUGUUCCUUGUUUUUUUUCAUAAUAGGGGCCAGAUGUAACAUGCUCUGUCCCAUUUGACCCCUAGAAGUUUAACUGGAUAAAUGUUCUCUGAUUUGUGUGUGUGUGUGUGUGUGUGUUUAUUCCCUAGACUCUGGCACACAAAUAUCUUUCCAAUUAAUCUAGAGUAGUUGCUAUUUCUUGUUCACUAUGUCUAAUCCACAUACAAUGUCA